CGUGUUGAGCGAGGACCGAGGCGGUGGUGGGGCAGGGGUGUAGAGCUGGGGUUCCCAACGGAGAGCAUGUCCAAGGAACGGCUGCCGGCGAGGUGAUGCUUCUGCCUGGGCCUACUUGGGACCGGAAGUGAGCGCUCGCGCGGGGAGGAUGCCGGGAGGCAGGUCCCAGGGGAUAUGUGUGUGUCGCUGAAGACCCAUCCCGGAAGCCGGCCGGGAGACUAUCAAGAUCUCCACUUAGGGAAGUGGGAAUCUUAUUUGCGGAACAUUGGGCAGAAGCUUUGCCAUUGGCUGGUGAAGAAGGAGGAGGCAGAAUGUCUGCAUUGUUACACCAUACAGCUCAAACUUCAGAAGACUUUGGGUUAAGCAGUUAUCAUUAGUCUGCAAUGAUCAUGUUUUCACCUGAUCAUUAGAAACUAAUGAAACACCUUUUAGGUCUUAUGAAUUCAGGUUACACUGUUUUCCAGAUGCCUUGGCAGCUGGUACAGGUUUAAAUUUAUGUUGUUUUGUGGUACAGUUUAAAAAUAGUGGAUAGCA
rnacentral:sRNA from 1 species